rnacentral:rRNA from 1 species
GAUGAACGCUAGCGGCAGGCCUAAUACAUGCAAGUCGAACGGAAUAUAGUUUUCGGAUUAUAUUUAGUGGCGCACGGGUGAGUAACACGUACAUAACUUACCCUCAAGAGGGGGAUAGCCUUGGGAAACUGAGCGUAAUACCCCAUAGUAUUAUUGAACGGCAUCGUUUGAUAAUUAAAGCUACGGCGCUUGAGGAUAGAUGUGCGUCUGAUUAGCUAGUUGGUAAGGUAACGGCUUACCAAGGCGACGAUCAGUAGGGGGCGUGAGAGCGUGGCCCCCCACACGGGUACUGAGACACGGACCCGACUCCUACGGGAGGCAGCAGUAAGGAAUAUUGGUCAAUGCCCGGAAGGGUGAACCAGCCAUGCCGCGUGAAGGAUGACUGCCCUCUGGGUUGUAAACUUCUUUUGGAUGGGACGAAAAAACGGGNUUUAUCCUGGACUGACGGUACCAUCAGAAUAAGCACCGGCUAACUCCGUGCCAGCAGCCGCGGUAAUGUAGUCGGUGU